UACGAGGGGGGCAAGCGUUGUUCGGAAUUAUUGGGCGUAAAGGGUGCGCAGGCGGUCUGAUAAGUCAUCUGUGAAAUCUAUGGGCUCAACCCAUAGUCUGCAGGCGAAACUGUCGGGCUUGAGUAUGGGAGAGGUGAGUGGAAUUUCCGGUGUAGCGGUGAAAUGCGUAGAUAUCGGAAGGAACACCUGUGGCGAAAGCGGCUCACUGGACCAUUACUGACGCUGAUGCACGAAAGCUAGGGGAGCAAACAGG
rnacentral:rRNA from 1 species